AGUGAACGCUGGCGGUAGGCCUAACACAUGCAAGUCGAACGGCAGCACAGUAAGAGCUUGCUCUUACGGGUGGCGAGUGGCGGACGGGUGAGGAAUACAUCGGAAUCUACUUUUUCGUGGGGGAUAACGUAGGGAAACUUACGCUAAUACCGCAUACGACCUACGGGUGAAAGCAGGGGAUCUUCGGACCUUGCGCGAUUGAAUGAGCCGAUGUCGGAUUAGCUAGUUGGCGGGGUAAAGGCCCACCAAGGCGACGAUCCGUAGCUGGUCUGAGAGGAUGAAUAGGCCCACUGGAACUGAGACACGGUCCCGACCCCUAACGGAGGCCGCCGUUGGGAAUAUUGGACAAUGGGGGGCAGCCUGAUCCAGCCAUACCGCGUGGGUGAAGAAGGCCUUCGGGUUGUAAAGCCCUUUUGUUGGGAAAGAAAAGCAGCAGGUUAAUACCCCGCUGUUCUGACGGUACCCAAAGAAUAAGCACCGGCUAACUUCGUG
rnacentral:rRNA from 1 species